rnacentral:lncRNA from 1 species
CUUGAUACGCUUGGAGUCGACUCGUGAUACUCGGGAGUCGACUCGAGUCUCAGACUUUGGUUCAGCAGACUUCUUAACUUAACCAAUAUACUAUGAACCAAGUCUAGAGACACUUGGACAGGUUUUUCACUGAAACACUCAAUUGAAUUCAUUAGUAAUCACAAGAUAUACUCAAAUGCUUUGAGCUCAUCAAAAUCAAAUGGGGUUUUAAUCAAUCACUCCACAAUCUCCUCCUUUUUGAUGAUGACAAAACUUUGAGUAUAUGUAAAAUGAAUUGCUCAUAAAACAAUGAAGUAAAAUCCAUAAAUGAAUUCAAAUGUCUGAUAAUUUAAUUUAUCCAAGUUUGAAAGGAGUGAAACAUUAAAUUUCGGAGUUAAAGCUCCCCCUUUCAUUUGGAAUUAUAUAAGCCUUCAUAUUAUUCAAUCAAUUGUUUGGCUUAUAUGUCAUUAAUGAUUUAGUUUGAUUAAAAUUCAGAUUCUCCCCCUCAACAUAUGCAUUCAACUAUGUUUUGAUUUUCUGAAUUCCCUUUUUAUGUUUUGAAGUUUUUGAACUGAAUUUUUUGUUUUUAGAGGAAAAAUCUGUCAAUUUGUUCUUGAGUAGGAUUCAGCUAAUCUCCGAAUAUCCCUUGAAUAGAUUCUAGAGAUUACUCCAUUAGGAGCCCCAAAAGAGAGAUAAUGAGCCUCGAGGUACCGAAUCCACUUAGAACAAAUUUGUGUGUGUUUUUAAGAGUUUAUCUUUUUUUAAGAGUUUAUCUUUUUAUUGAUUUCUUUUACAUAUUUUAUCCAUAUUUCUUCCCUUUAUACAUAUUUUAUACAUAUUUCUCUCCCUUUUUGUCAUCAUAUCAAAAAGGAGGUAAUCACACACAAUCAAUGGCACAACC